rnacentral:lncRNA from 1 species
AAAAUUUGCACUAUUACACUUAAAAGUUGUUAUCCUUUUUGGCAGCUCAAUAGGAAAGCUCAACAUUUUAAACAUGGUAGUACUGGAAAUUUUAUGACAAGACUUUUACCUAGCACUUAAAUAUGUAUAAAUGUAUAUAAGACAAACUAGUAAGCAUGACCUGGGGAAAUGGUCAGACCUUGUAUUGUGUUUUUGGCCUUGAAAGUAGCAAGUGACCAGAAUCUGCCUUGGCAACAGGCUUAAAAAAAAAAAAAAGACCCUUAAAAAGACACUGUCUCAACUGUGGUGUUAGCACCAGCCAGCUCUCUGUACAUUUGCUAGCUUGUAGUUUUCUAAGACUGAGUAAACUUCUUAUUUUUAGAAAGUGGAGGUCUGGUUUGUGACUCUCCUUGUACUUAAUUGGGUAAAAGUCUUUUCCACAAACCACCAUCUAUUUUGUGAACUUUGUUAGUCAUCUUUUAUUUGGUAAAUUAUGAACUGGUGUAAAUCAUGUUGUGUAACAUUUGCCACAAUAGCUAAGUAUUUUAUCUCAUCUGUUAUUAUUACCUUAAGAAAAAUUUCUUGUAAUGGGAGUCUUAAUUAUAAGGCAAUUUUAAAAUAUUUGAAAUAGAUUUUGAAAUUGUGUUCUGGAGAAGGUAUAUGAAUUUGUACUCUUGAAUUAUAUAGUAUGAAAGAGUCUGUGUUCUCACAGCCUCAGAACUUUUUUAACUCUGAAAUUUUUUUGCAAACAUAAUAACAAGUCCAUAGUGUUUUGGUUUGUCAUUAUUUUAAUGACUAUUUCCCCACAUUUAUUUUUUAAACUUAUGUAGAUACUUUAGAUUUUGAAUCUUAAACUGUAAUUUUUUUUCUGCAUGAUUUGCACAUGUGGACAUAUGCUUAGAAAGAGAUUUUGUAUAUAAAGUAUUAUCUAAAAAUGAGCCUCCAUUUUCAUGUAUGUUUCUUUUUUUUUAAAUUAUUAAUUUUAGUUGCAGUUGUAAGAUAUUCAGUUUAUUUUUGACAAGUUUUGUAAGCUGUAUCAAUACCCAUUUAUGGGCAAAUUUAUUAUUUCUAUACUGAUUUGAUAAUGGCCCUUAGACUUCUAAUCUGUCUCUCUCCCUUCCCUCUAAUGCAUUCUACUACAUUCUUUUUUGUAAAAAUUGAUUUUUACUGGAAGAUAGUUGUUUUACAAUGUUCUUUUAGUUUCUACUGUACAACAAAAUGAAUCAGUCAUAUGUUUAUAUAUAAGCAUAUAUAUAUCCCCUCCCAUUUUGACUUCCUUCCAAUUCAGAUCAUCACAUUGCAUUAAGUAG